CAGUAGCCGCGGUAAUACGUAGGUGGCAAGCGUUGUCCGGAAUUAUUGGGCGUAAAGCGCGCGCAGGCGGAUAGGUCAGUCUGUCUUAAAAGUUCGGGGCUUAACCCCGUGAUGGGAUGGAAACUGCCAAUCUAGAGUAUCGGAGAGGAAAGUGGAAUUCCUAGUGUAGCGGUGAAAUGCGUAGAUAUUAGGAAGAACACCAGUGGCGAAGGCGACUUUCUGGACGAAAACUGACGCUGAGGCACGAAAGCCAGGGGAGCGAACGGGAUUAGAUACCCCGGUAGUCCCUGUCUCUUAUACA
rnacentral:rRNA from 1 species